rnacentral:tRNA from 1 species
AGCGACGUGGCGCAGCGGUUAGCGUGUCUGGCUCAUAACCAGAAGGUCGGUGGUUCGAUCCCACUCGUCGCUA